rnacentral:misc_RNA from 1 species
AAAGUCGUAACAAGGUUUCCGUAGGUGAACCUGCGGAAGGAUCAUUAACAAAUCAUGGAGCUUGCUCCAAAAGAGUUCCCUCAAAGAGACUUUGGUCUUGGAGAGGUUCUCUAUAUCAACCUGUUGUAUUGUAUGACAAAAUUCGGUGCCAAAUUAUAUAACAACUUUUAACAAUGGAUCUCUUGGCUCUU